CAGACUCUCCUUGGUUGGGCAGGUCUUGCUGCGGCUGCUGUCAGGAAUGGGGAUGAGGUUCCUGGGUCAAUAGUGUUGUGUACCUAGGAGGAUUAUGGCUGCCUUUGCUGAGUCAUGCGGGUUGUCAGGGAAGUGGGGGAAAGCCAGCAGUCACAGGCCUCACCCAGCUCCCACGCAAUCCAAAGGGCUGGUCUCACUCCCACAGUGCCUCCCCUAACAGCACCAAAUCUGUUUCCAGGCAGUGGGCAAGCAGGGCUGAGAAUUGCCCCAGACUACCCACCUCCCAGCUGCAAAGGAAAAGGGCUCAGUUCUUCCCCCACCUGUGGAGUCUGCAUGCUGGAUUCCCGUUCUCCCCAGAGUUCUGGCCAGGAGGCUUCUUGCCUGGUUCAAAUUGUUAUGAAGUUCAGCUGGAGACUUCCUUCUCCCUGUGGCAUUUUCCCCACACCUCUAGCUGCCCUCCUGAAGGAUCCUGGUGGUGCCAGGUCUAUGCACUGAAAAUAUGCCUGUGAAGAAAGCAAUAUUUCUGUCUCCAUGGACCUUACUAUCAAACUGGAAGAGACCAAAGAUUAAUAUACAAAUAGGUGAUAAUAGAAAGUCUGAUAUGGAUUGGUGCAAUGAAGAAAAAUAAGGCAUUUAGGCUCACCAUGAUGAGACUUGCUGUCUACCUUGAAUACAUGUUUUAUGUAGGUGACUAAAGUAGCACAGCGAUUAUAUACUAGGAAACUGAUACUAUCAGAAGAAUGAUUUGUUACACAAAAUGGAAGACGUUUUGUUCACAGAACUGUGGGCCCAACCUACUACACGAGUCCUUUCAAGAGAGGAAACGUUCCUGGCUGCAGCUAGAGAGAGAUGGCAGCGUGAGGAGGCUCUGACUUGCUGCAGCUGCCCUGAAGAUACGGGAAGGGUGUCACCGGCUAUGGGGUGCUGGAGGCCUCUGGAAGUGGAUUCUCUUCUAACAACUACAGAAAAGAAUGCUGUUGUGCUGACAUUUUGAUUUUAGCCCAGUGACAUCUGUGCUGGAUUUCUGACCUACAGUACUAUAAGGUUCUCCUGUAGAACUUCCCAGGCAGAAGAAAAGAUAAUUCUAAUGGUUCUGCUGUGGAGCAGAGAGUCACAGCUUGCAUCACAGUCCACGGAUCACCAAGAGGAACCUUACUGACUACUGAAGUCAGAAAAGACAACUUCUAAGGUGCAGCUUUAAGAGUUCCUACAUCUGAUGAAAAUGUGGAAAGCUGUCCUACUGAAUUCAUAUAAGGCACUGGGAAAUUUCAGUGGUGCAGUUAAACAGGAAAUGUUUGCUGACCCCUGCCUUAGACUGCCUUCUUCAAUAAAGAAUUUCGGAUGAAGUACAUGUUAUUCUGUAUGACAGUCUGUUGUUUCCAAGAGAAUAAUAACAAGCUGUCCUUGAAAAGAAUGGCUGGUGAUGGAAUUAGCUCUAGAGAAUUUAAGGUAGUAUUUGCCAAGAAAGAAGGUCAGUCUGAUAUUGUGUCAAACAUAUCCUUUAUUAACCUGAAUAAGUAAAUAUAUGAAUAAGUAAAUAUACCUAAUAAAUUACGAAGUGCUUGGUGAGUUACCUGACCAUUGUUUUUAAAUGUUCUCAUUAGCAUUUCUUGUCUGUAAUAAAUGAUUUUAAAUUUCGUGUUUCUCCGAAAUGGUAUUUUAAAUUCCCUGAAAGAAAUAUUCUCAAUUUUUCAUGGGAGAGAAUGGCUAGGAAAUUCUUUUUCAUAACUGUGAUCUAGCUUGUGUACUCAGGUAACUGAUAAAGUAAUGGAUCAGUCAUCUAUAGAAUACAUGCCUAUUCCAAAGUGGUUACUGCUGUAUGUCAUGGCAUCUGUAAUUGGCCUAAAAAGCGAUAAAUCUGUUUUUGUAAAGUAACCCAAAAGACCCCAUUAAAAGUGGUAUUUUAAAUGUCAGUGAGCAUGUAUUCUAUUUAAUUUAUGUUAAUAGGCCAUAAAUGGGAGAAAAUUGAUGAAAAAUAUUACCUUUUCUGCAUGUUAAAACUCAGGAGUAAUUAUUUUUCAUUUUUCACUUAAGGAUAAGCAGGUGUUUAACACAACAUUAAAUAAAUGCCUCAGUACCACAAGGUGAUAAAUGUGUAACAUUUAACAGAUGAGUAAAUUAAAAUUGUGUCUAAAACAGCACAAACAAGAAAAAAUUUAAAUAUGAGUACACACACAGUAUAUAACAUGGUGUGACACCACUUACCUACAAAGCAGGAGACUUAGACAUGCCAGUUUACACCUGAAAUGGCUUAAACCUUCCCC
rnacentral:lncRNA from 1 species